rnacentral:rRNA from 1 species
UGGGGAAUUUUCCGCAAUGGGCGAAAGCCUGACGGAGCAAUGCCGCGUGGAGGUGGAAGGCCUACGGGUCGUCAACUUCUUUUCUCGGAGAAGAAACAAUGACGGUAUCUGAGGAAUAAGCAUCGGCUAACUCUAUGCCAG